rnacentral:rRNA from 1 species
UACGGGGGGGGCAAGCGUUGUUCGGAAUUACUGGGCGUAAAGGGCUCGUAGGCGGCCAACUAAGUCAGACGUGAAAUCCCUCGGCUUAACCGGGGAACUGCAUCUGAUACUGGAUGGCUUGAGUUCGGGAGAGGGAUGCGGAAUUCCAGGUGUAGCGGUGAAAUGCGUAGAUAUCUGGAGGAACACCGGUGGCGAAGGCGGCGACCUGGGUAGAUACUGACGCUGAGGUGCGAAAGCGUGGGGAGCAAACAGG